CUCAUCAUAUUUAGGUUACGGAGCUCCUUCCAGUGAUGCUGACCAUCAUUUCACCAUCAAUUAGGAAUCUCCAGUCAGUCCAGUAGUGUGGUGACUCUGCUGGACUGACUGGCCUCCUUAUCGGCACAGAAUCAUCUUCAAGACCAGGAGAAGGACCGGCUCUUAUACUGUCAUCAGAAGUGAUGAGAAUCUCACUGCCUUCCAGGAGGCAUAUGACCACUUCCUUCUGCUGGCUCAGAAUCCUUCCUAUGUUGGAGCUCAUUCCAGUGAUGGUGACCAUCAUUUCACCAUCUAUUAGGAAACUCCAGUCAGUCCAGUAGUGUGGUGACUCUGCUGGACUGACUGGCCUGUAAGUACAUGAUUCACUUAAUCAGCUCUUUCUUAUCUGACCGCUUUUCAAAUUAAAAUGUAUUUAUGGAUCUGAACGGCACUUUCAGUGUUUCUGAUUCCAUAUUUCUUUUUUUUCCUCCCUUUUUCUGUCUGUCAAGCCCCUGACCAAUCAGAAGGAGAAGCAGUGAGCGCUUACACAUUUAAAUGGCCAAUGCUUUGUAUUUCCAUGACUGAGAUCAGUGGAAUGUUAAAAGGUAUGAAAAAUUAAAUAAAGUGCAAUAAUUAAAACAUCAACAACCUCCUUUCUGUUUCCAUGUCUCUCUGCCCCACAGUCUGUCACACAAUGGGUCUAAAUGACUUUUUUUUUUAAGGCAUAAACGGUAGUAACUGACUUGAGAUCGGAGGUGUGAAGAGUUGUGCAGCAGAGAUGUGUACCCAAAAAUUGUACUGAGAAAACUAACUCAGCCAGAGAGCAACAGGUCAGUCACAAACAACAGCGCCUCUACUCACAUGACCACGUUAACACAGAGAGUUGAAGUUAUACUUUAUGUGUGUGAGACAUGGUCCAUCAUCUCUUCCUGUCUGUGUCUGCAGGGAUUACUGCUCAUCAUAUUUAGGUUACGGAGCUCCUUCCAGUGAUGCUGACCAUCAUUUCACCAUCAAUUAGGAAUCUCCAGUCAGUCCAGUAGUGUGGUGACUCUGCUGGACUGACUGGCCUGUAAGUACAUGAUUCACUUAAUCAGCUCUUUCUUAUCUGACCGCUUUUCAAAUUAAAAUGUAUUUAUGGAUCUGAACGGCACUUUCAGUGUUUCUGAUUCCAUAUUUCUUUUUUUUCCUCCCUUUUUCUGUCUGUCGAGCCCCUGACCAAUCAGAAGGAGAAGCAGUGAGUGCUUACACAUUUAAAUGGCCAAUGCUUUGUAUUUCCAUGACUGAGAUCAGUGGAACGUUAAAAGGUAUGAAAAACUAAAUAAAGUGCAAUAAUUAAAACAUCAACAACCUCCUUUCUGUUUCCAUGUCUCUCUGCCCCACAGUCUGUCACACAAUGGGUCUAAAAUGACUUUUUUUUUAAGGCAUAAACAGUAGUAACUGACGUGAGAUCGGAGGUGUGAAGAGUUGUGCAGCAGAGAUGUGUACCCAAAAAUUGUGCUGAGAAAACUAACUCAGCCAGAGAGCAACAGGUCAGUCACAAACAACAGCGCCUCUACUCACAUGACCACGUUAACACAGAGAGUUGAAGUUAUACUUUAUGUGUGUGAGACAUGGUCCAUCAUCUCUUCCUGUCUGUGUCUGCAGGGAUUACUGCUCAUCAUAUUUAGGUUACGGAGCUCCUUCCAGUGAUGCUGACCAUCAUUUCACCAUCAAUUAGGAAUCUCCAGUCAGUCCAGUAGUGUGGUGACUCUGCUGGACUGACUGGCCUGUAAGUACAUGAUUCACUUAAUCAGCUCUUUCUUAUCUGACCGCUUUUCAAAUUAAAAUGUAUUUAUGGAUCUGAACGGCACUUUCAGUGUUUCUGAUUCCAUAUUUCUUUUUUUUCCUCCCUUUUUCUGUCUGUCGAGCCCCUGACCAAUCAGAAGGAGAAGCAGUGAGUGCUUACACAUUUAAAUGGCCAAUGCUUUGUAUUUCCAUGACUGAGAUCAGUGGAACGUUAAAAGGUAUGAAAAAUUAAAUAAAGUGCAAUAAUUAAAACAUCAACAACCUCCUUUCUGUUUCCAUGUCUCUC